rnacentral:rRNA from 1 species
GAUGAACGCUGGCGGCGUGCCUAAUACAUGCAAGUCGAGCGAACGGACGAGAAGCUUGCUUCUCUGAUGUUAGCGGCGGACGGGUGAGUAACACGUGGAUAACCUACCUAUAAGACUGGGAUAACUUCGGGAAACCGGAGCUAAUACCGGAUAAUAUUUUGAACCGCAUGGUUCAAAAGUAAAAGACGGUCUUGCUGUCACUUAUAGAUGGAUCCGCGCCGCAUUAGCUAGUUGGUAAGGUAACGGCUUACCAAGGCAACGAUGCAUAGCCGACCUGAGAGGGUGAUCGGCCACACUGGAACUGAGACACGGUCCAGACUCCUACGGGAGGCAGCAGUAGGGAAUCUUCCGCAAUGGGCGAAAGCCUGACGGAGCAACGCCGCGUGAGUGAUGAAGGUCUUCGGAUCGUAAAACUCUGUUAUUAGGGAAGAACAUAUGUGUAAGUAACUGUGCACAUCUUGACGGUACCUAAUCAGAAAGCCACGGCUAACUACGUGCCAGCAGCCGCGGUAAUACGUAGGUGGCAAGCGUUAUCCGGAAUUAUUGGGCGUAAAGCGCGCGUAGCAGUUUUUUAAGUCUGAUGUGAAAGCCCACGGCUCAACCGUGGAGGGUCAUUGGAAACUGGAAAACUUGAGUGCAGAAGAGGAAAGUGGAAUUCCAUGUGUAGCGGUGAAAUGCGCAGAGAUAUGGAGGAACACCAGUGGCGAAGGCGACUUUCUGGUCUGUAACUGACGCUGAUGUGCGAAAGCGUGGGGAUCAAACAGGAUUAGAUACCCUGGUAGUCCACGCCGUAAACGAUGAGUGCUAAGUGUUAGGGGGUUUCCGCCCCUUAGUGCUGCAGCUAACGCAUUAAGCACUCCGCCUGGGGAGUACGACCGCAAGGUUGAAACUCAAAGGAAUUGACGGGGACCCGCACAAGCGGUGGAGCAUGUGGUUUAAUUCGAAGCAACGCGAAGAACCUUACCAAAUCUUGACAUCCUUUGACAACUCUAGAGAUAGAGCCUUCCCCUUCGGGGGACAAAGUGACAGGUGGUGCAUGGUUGUCGUCAGCUCGUGUCGUGAGAAGUUGGGUUAAGUCCCGCAACGAGCGCAACCCUUAAGCUUAGUUGCCGUCAUUAAGUUGGGCACUCUAAGUUGACUGCCGGUGACAAACCGGAGGAAGGUGGGGAUGACGUCAAAUCAUCAUGCCCCUUAUGAUUUGGGCUACACACGUGCUACAAUGGACAAUACAAAGGGCAGCGAAACCGCGAGGUCAAGCAAAUCCCAUAAAGUUGUUCUCAGUUCGGAUUGUAGUCUGCAACUCGACUACAUGAAGCUGGAAUCGCUAGUAAUCGUAGAUCAGCAUGCUACGGUGAAUACGUUCCCGGGUCU